rnacentral:lncRNA from 1 species
AGAGACUGAGACUUUGAGCUGGGGAAGAGAGAGGGAGGGGAGAGGAGGCAAAAGAAGGAGAGAGAGAGAGAGAGAGAGAGAGAGAGAGAGAGAGAAACGCAGAGGGAGGGAGGCAGGGAGACCAAACCCCCGCUUUACUGCGUUGAAAGCUCCUGAAUUUCAAGCAGAAAGUAGAAGGAGCAUCACACGGCAAUGGGCGUCUUUCCUUGGGCUGCGUGUGCAGAGCGUAGACAAUGAAAAUCUCCAUCCCCCUCCCCCAUCCCCGCUAGACUACAAGAUUUUUCUUUUCGUUCCUUAUCAACGGUGGAAGAUGUGCAAAAUCAAAUACACAGAGCUGUGCAUUUAUUUUUAAAAUAAAUAAAGCAAACGGGCUGAGACGCGGAUUACCCAAACGCGCACCGGCUGGGCGCGUUGCGGGGUCUCUGCGUUAGACCGGUUCUCAGCGGUUUCUGCAGCCACAGCCUGGCUCUACGCCUCCCCCCGGGCCGCGGGGGCGGAGAAUCCUCCCUUCCUCGGACACUGGAGCCGGAGCGGACCUUGCCCUCCCGCGGACCGCGCGGUAGGGGACGCCGAGAAAAGAGCCCCUGCGCCCGCCGCCUCCGGCCCGCCGCGCAGAGGGCUCCGCCCGUAGAGGUCAACUCCCCUCACCCUUUCGGCUCUCCUGAUCGCCCUCCCUCCGCCCGGCCCAGGCUCCGCCAGCCUCCCGACUCGGGCCGCAGUCUGAGGAGUGCGCCUCCGCUGCGCUGCUCUGAACCUUAACCCCGAGCCGGGCCCAGACCCGAGGUCCGCGCACCCCGGCGGUGGGGAAGCCUUAGCGAGCAGCCUUUUCUCUGCAGCAAAGCUGUAGGAAGACCAGAUGGGCCGCGCAGCUCUCUCGGGACUAGGCAGGUUUCCAAUUUAUAGACGUGAACAGUGACUCUCCAUAAUACGAAGGAGAAAAUAUCCUGGGAGCUAGUUUAAAAAUUUAGGUUUUUAGGUCCCAUCCUCGGAGAUUCAGUUUCAGUAGGCAGGUCUGAGACGCAUUUAAAGAAGCAGCACAACUGGUUCUGAUGUGAUUGAUCUACAUUCUGAGGAAUUCUGGAUCAGCUCUCCAAGCAUCUCUGUAGCUCUACACUUUAUGGUUAUGAAUGAAAAUAAAUUAAUAAUUUUAAGAUAAUGAAUCUGAUCACUAGGAAAGCAGAGCCAGAAAGAAUUGAAAUUUGCGGCAAAUCUUAGUUAUGACAAGGGGAGGAAGUCUGGAUUCUACAAGAAGCAACGCCAAGUAGUUAUGUUGCGAGCCACACGGGAAGUCCAUGGAUUCUUCAAGAAGCAAAUGCCAAGAUGGAAUUAAAUGUACAAUGUCUUUAUUAGGGAAAAUGCCUGUGUGAGAGAAAACAGUGGGCAGCAGGUCUUACAGCUUGGCAAACUGUCAGACAGCAGGGCUGGUCCAACCUCCAAUAAAAAGAGAAGGGAAGGUGGGCUGCGGUGUCCUAGAAUAAAAUUCCAUCUAAGGAAGGUUUGUCAAGGUCACCUGGAAGUCGUUGAACCAGCUGGCCAUCAGAAGAGUCUAGGUCUUCCAAAAAGAUGCCUGCUCUGGGAUCCUUCCUACAGCUAGUCAGAGGCUAGGAGCCUCUGGACACAAUGAUGGAUUUUAGAGCAUAGGUGCUGGGUCCCUUGGUUAAUCACUGUAGUUGGAGGUGCUGGGUCCCUCCCUCCCUGUAGUUGUAGGACUCUGAGGUGUAUUCUCAUAACUGCCACAGAGGUGAAUCAUCAUUAAUAAAAAUGAUUGUUAAUCAAAAGUCAUUUUUAAUAAAAGUGAGUCAGUUGCUAGGAAAUGUAACCAAAAUUUAUCAUCACAUUAAAGAAAACCCAUAAUUGAUAUGAACAGGAUCAGCAAUCAAAGAUGAGGGUGAUUCAAGAGGUAUAAAAAUAACUACCUUGCUCCCAAAAUAUACGAGUUAGAAAAGGCUAGGUUACACUGUGAUGAUGAACCACCCCCAAACCUCAUUGGUUUAAAACAACAAAGGUUGGUAUCUUACUCCAACUACAAGCCUGGUAUAGGUUAGAAGAAGGACUCUGUUCAUAUUUUUGUCCCAGGAAGUCCAACAAUGGAAGCUUUGCUAUCUAAAGAUGGCAACCUUUCAAACACGUGAACUUCUGCAACAGUAUUUCAGGGAAAGAGGUGGCUGGAGAUUCAAGUACAGGCAGGUGUUUUGACCCAAAAGUUAUAAACAUCACUUCCAUUCAAUUUUAUUGGCUAGAACUUGUCACGUGGCCAUUCAAAGAAUUGGAAUUUUCCUUGUAUCUGGAAAUGGAAGAUAGGAGAUACUGGCAAAUAAUGGUGCUUACCAAAAUAAGACUUCUUGCAAUCCUAUCACUUGUACAUCGUGGCUGAUUACCCCAUCUCUAAGAGUCCUUGAAUUCAGGAAUUUAGUGUGACUGAAUCUCAAGCUGUGUUCAGAUUUUUUGCAUUUUUGCAUUUUUGAAGGCAGUUAGGUAUGGUGGAUAGGGCAUACCCACAGAGUCAAGGACCCUCAGUAUAAAAAAUAGUCUCUUUCUCUGAACUACUGUAUGAUUUUGGACAUUCAUCUUACCUUUCUGGGCUCUUAUUUUCUCACUUAAAAAAUAAAAGGACGGAAUUAGGUAACUAA